CGUCGCUACUACCGAUUGAAUGGCUUAGUGAGGCUUUCGGAUUGGACUUUGGCAGCUGGCAACAGCAGCUAGGGACUAAAAAGUCAUCCAAACUUGGUCAUUUAGAGGAAGUAAAAGUCGUAACAAGGUUUCCGUAGGUGAACCUGCGGAAGGAUCAUUCAUAAUAAGUGUUUUAUGGCACUUUUUAAAUCCAUAUCCACCUUGUGUGCAAUGUCAGUCGAUCUUCUUCAUGGAGAUUGACCAAACAUCAACCUUUAUCUUUUAACUCUUUGUCUGAAAAAUAUUAUGAAUAAACAAUUCAAAAUACAACUUUCAACAACGGAUCUCUUGGCUCUCGCAUCGAUGAAGAACGCAGCGAAAUGCGAUACGUAAUGUGAAUUGCAGAAUUCAGUGAAUCAUCGAAUCUUUGAACGCAUAUUGCGCUCUUUGGUAUUCCGAAGAGCAUGCUUGUUUGAGUAUCAGUAAACACCUCAAAGCUUUUGGAUUUUUUAAUCGAAAAGCUUUGGACUUGAGCAAUCCCAACACCAAUCUUUUUGAGAUCGGUGGCGGGUUGCUUGAAAUGCAGGUGCAGCUGGACAUUCUCCUGAGCUAAAAGCAUAUUCAUUUAGUCCCGUCAAACGGAUUAUUACUUUUGCUGCAGCUAACAUGAAGGGAGUUUGACCGUAUUGGCUGACUGAUGCAGGAUUUCACAAGGGUCGGCAACGAUUCUUGUUAAACUCGAUCUCAAAUCAAGUAAGACUACCCGCUGAACUUAAGCAUAUCAAUAAGCGGAGGAAAAGAAACUAACAAGGAUUCCCCUAGUAACGGCGAGUGAAGCGGGAUGAGCUCAAAUUUAAAAUCUGGCUGGUUUACUAGUCCGAAUUGUAGUUUAUAGAAGCGUUUUCGGUGGCAGCCUGGGUAUAAAUCCUUUGGAAUAGGGUAUCAUAGAGGGUGAGAAUCCCGUCUUUGACUCAGUGCAUGCUACUAUGUGAUACGUUUUCAAAGAGUCGAGUUGUUUGGGAAUGCAGCUCAAAAUGGGU
rnacentral:rRNA from 1 species